AAUACCGACGUAGUCUAGCAGACAUCAUGGCGCCGCCCGCCACCUCCUCCUCCCGGCCGGUGCAGCCCCGACUCCUCUACUUCCUGGUCGGUGCCACCGCACCUCCUAUUCUUCACCCUGACCACCUACUCCAACCACACCUCCCCUGACCCCGCCGCCGGGCACUGCCCCACCACCUUCACUGCCUCGCGCUACCGCCGCCCUUACUCACGGGGCCCCCUCCACCUUCUCCAACCAAGGCCCCUAACACUACCUCCUAUCACUUCCCUCCGCCGCCGGCCAGCGGGGACGCCGGAUCCCUACGCCGUCAGGGCUACCGCGAGCCACUGCCAUCCUCCCACAUACCAACUCCCCCAGCCAGUACCGCUCAAUCCCUGGCCACUCUCCCCUCCCCCUCAGCUGCGUGGUGGUUGGCGACUUUGGUGACUCUCCGUCCACGGAUUCGGUCGUCCCCCGACCGCCAGACCGCAGGCAGCGAGUUCCUCAGGUGAGAUAUCCUCCCCCGGCCUACGGCAAGUUCUCUUGCCCCCCUCCCCUCCGACGAGCUCUCCUGCAUCCCCUUCCCUCCUACGAGCUGGCCUGAAGACAGACGAGGCUCCCGAUGCAGUUCGAUUUCGUGGGUGGUGCCGUGCGGUGUGUGUGUCUUGCAGCUCGCUUGUGUCUUGCAGCUCAGAGCAAUCGGCAAGCAACUCUGAGCGAUUCGGUCACCUGCACACACUGAAUUCGUCUCAGCCCUCACCUCCGCCGGCAGAUUUGUAAUCUCCACUGUUCGGUACCAUGUAUAUGUAGUUUACUUUAUACUCUCUCCGUUCCAAAAUAGAUGACCCAACUUUGUAUUAAUUUUAGUAUAAAGUUGGGUCAUCUAUUUUGGAACGGAGGGAGUACUAUCUUGCAGGUUAUUUGUUCUCUAUGGCGGUAUGUGUUGUGCACUACACCCAUGUGUAUCGAGGAGAUGCAGUUUGGUUUCCAGUCCCAUGACGUGCAGUGGCGGCAGUAGCUAUGGGAGCAUAGCAGCAGAUGGCGGUGUGCAAAGGAGGUCGUUUGAUCCGUUUCUCGUGGCCUCCGAUUGCUCCGCCGCUAGCAGCUAUCUCUACAUCAUAGCUUCUGCUCCUGAAUACUGGUUUGCCUCCAUCCCGUGACCAAGUGUUAGUUUUUUUUCUCUCUGAACCAAUUCCUCACCGCUGCAGACUUUUGAAGCAACUCCUGUUGUCCCACGAAGUCAUGCCACUCUAUUCUUCAUCCUUAGGGUCAAAUCGGGAAGACGAGGACACCCACUGCUCUGGCACCCGCAAGCUCCCGUGCAGUUUGUGCGGUGUGCCAAUGAAAUUCAGAGUCUGGCUGUGUGGUGCGGAUCAUGUGCGUGUGCAGUCUGGGCAAGGACGGAUAUCGAGUAUGCAUACAUGGUUUGGGAGCAAAAACAUCAGCGUGCAGAGAUGGGGAAACAACAAAAAAGGGGAUAAAGUGAACUCCGCCUCCGGGAUGCCCCCGCUCACACUGCCAGUAGACCUAUUUUUACUAUCAGACUCACCGGGCCAUCGCCAACUCCCCAAGCAGUACACUUUCAUACUGUCAGCACCGGCUACAGCAACGCUCCAAUUUUUGUCGUUCACUUUUUUGUUUACAUAUUGAAGGACAUCUGUGUUAACUUCAAAAGUUGCCCACUUUGGCAAAACAGCUGAAAAAAAAGAAAACUACAAUGUAGUGCACUUCGAGGGACUCCACGGUCCACUUCUCAUAAAAAGAAAAGAUGUUUCCCGAUU